rnacentral:rRNA from 1 species
GGUGAGGAAUACGUAGGAAUCUGCCCUUAAGUGGGGGAUAACCCGGGGAAACCCGGAUUAAUACCGCAUGAUCUCGAAAGAGCAAAGCAGGGGACCGCAAGGCCUUGCGCUUUUGGAGGAGCCUACGUCGGAUUAGCUAGUUGGUGAGGUAACGGUUCACCAAGGCGACGAUCCGUAACUGGUCUGAGAGGAUGAUCAGUCACACCGGAACUGAGACACGGCCCAGACUCCUACGGGAGGCAGCAGUGGGGAAUUUUGGACAAUGGGGGCAACCCUGAUCCAGCAAUGCCGCGUGAGUGAAGAAGGCCCUCGGGUUGUAAACUGCUUUUGUACGGAGCGAAAAGGCUCUCUCUAAUACAGGGGGCUCAUGACGGUACCGUAAGAAUAAGCACCGGCUAGUACGUGC